rnacentral:rRNA from 1 species
UACGUAGGGUGCGAGCGUUGUCCGGAAUUAUUGGGCGUAAAGAGCUUGUAGGUGGUUUGUCGCGUCUGCUGUGAAAAUCCGAGGCUCAACCUCGGACUUGCAGUGGGUACGGGCAGACUAGAGUGUGGUAGGGGAGACUGGAAUUCCUGGUGUAGCGGUGGAAUGCGCAGAUAUCAGGAGGAACACCGAGUGGCGAAAGGCAGGUCUCUGGGCCAU